rnacentral:rRNA from 1 species
GAGUUUGAUCCUGGCUCAGGAUGAACGCUGGCGGCGUGGAUAAGGCAUGCAAGUCAAACGGCCCGCAAGGGCAGUGGCGAACGAGGUAGUAACACGUGGGUACAUCCCCCAAAGUCAGGAAUAACUAGUCGAAAGAUUAGCUAAUACUUGGUAGUCUCUUAGGAGUAAAGAUUUAUCGCUUUGGGAAUGGCCUGCGGAGUAUCAGCUAGUUGGUAGGGUAAUGGCCUACCAAGGCUAUGACGCUUAGGGGAGCUGAGAGGCUGACCCCCACCGGUGGAACUGAGAAACGGUCCACACACCUACGGGUGGCCGCAGCCGAGAAUCUUCCGCAAUGGACGAAAGUCUGACGGAGCGACGCCGCGUGAUGGAUGAAGUCCCUAGGGACGUAAACAUCUUUUAUGAGGGAGAAAGUUUAUUGAUAGUACCUCACGAAUAAGGGGUUGCUAAACUCGUGCCAGCAGCAGCGGUAAUACGAGUGCCCCGAGCGUUAUCCGGAAUUAUUGGGCGUAAAGGGUGUGUAGGUGGCAGUGUUAGUCAAACGUUAAAUCCCGGGGCUUAACCCCGGAAGUGCGUUUGAAACGGCACAGCUAGAGGAUGCGAGGGAUGAAUGGAACUCAUGGAGUAGGGGUGAAAUCCGUUGAUAUCAUGGGGAACACCAAAAGCGAAGGCAGUU